AGAUGGAGCAGCAUGGCAUGGGAAAUGAACCGUUGCACUUAUUCAUUUUUGCUGCAGCUUUUCUCAAUGGCUGUGAAAGUGUUACUCCUCAAUCAGGCGGGAAACAUCCUGUCGAUACAACUGACCGGGUCAUAAAGGCUUCUUCUGAGCCUGAAACUGAACUAAAGGUCGAGUACAGGACGGAAUUGAAGCGUGAUUCAGCAGGUUCACAGUUCUACAAAAACUGUGAAGAGAGUGUGGAAUUGCAAACAAAUGAAAUGUCCCUGCUACCAGAGAGAGGGAAUUUUGUUCAAGCUGAGAUUGUCGUGGGAUCUUGUAAAGGUUUAUGUUUAAACGUAUACAACACAACGUUUCUCAGAGAUGGUAUUCGAAUGUCUAAGGACAGCAUUCUUUCCAUCGUGCUGAAACCAAGACCAAUGGCUAAUGCGUCUGCGCAACUUGAAAACAUGACUGUUUCCAUCACAGUUCAGUUUAUUGACGCUACAACUGCUAAUGUUACCCUGAGAGUCAAAGCAACUAAUGACGAAACCAAAUGGAAUGAGACCCAUGUCUUAUUACAGAUACCUGAGCUUUAUCUGGUGUCUGCAUUUGGCCUAAGACCUCGCCAAUAUGAAUCUGGGGUGAAUUGUACUGAUCAACUGACCCUCCUCAACUUAGGAAUGGAUACACCUGGUCUUUCAAAAAUUGUGAUUUGGAUUAUAUCAGUAUCGCUAACACUCACGGUGGUUGGAAUAACUUUGCUUUGUUAUUUUGGGCGUCGAUAUUUCGAGUGUCUUGUUUAUAAGGUCGUUACGGACUCUACUGAGGUUUAAACACCAUUCUAGUUCAGAUAACAUAAAAUUAUAUCCACUUUUAUCAGAUAGUUGUCUGUUGUAUGAUCAAUUUGGGCAUCAAACAUGAGAUCUGUUAGUCUGAUUCCAUUUAUUUGGUUGUAACAAACUUAAAUUAUGAUAUUUUUUAUAUACCUCUCAUACCAUUCAUCUCCGAAAACUCUUUCUAGUCAUCUUUUAUCAUUUCUUUUCUUGAUAUGAUAUUUAGAAUACUAAUUUCUUAAUGUUUCAUGAAUAUAAUGAGGAUUGAGGAAUGAGGAGCCAUUCUCUUCAUGUGUAUAUUUGUGGAAUACUGUAUAAGAGGGAUCAGAAUAUUGUGAACAAGAAUUUUUUCCCGAUCCAUGACUUGUGCCGAAGGCACAAAAGAGUCAAGGACAAGGGUUAGCGAUCAAGGUUUUUUUUUGUAUAUGGUAGCUUGCGACCGUGCGUGCGUACGUGCCCUCGCCCCGGCCCAGUCUAGUUAUCGCCCACGUGUCUGCCUGCGCAAAGUUAUUUUGCGCGAUCAUCUGAAUUAAACAAU